rnacentral:rRNA from 1 species
CGUCAAAUCAUCAUGCCCCUUAUGCCCUGGGCUACACACGUAAUACAAUGGCGCCGAACAGAGGGAGGCAAGGCCGCGAGGCGGAGCAAAUCCCGAAAAGGCGCCCCAGUUCGGAUCGCAGGCUGCAACCCGCCUGCGUGAAGCCGGAAUUGCUAGUAAUCGCGGAUCAGCAUGCCGCGGUGAAUACGUUCCCGGGCCUU